CUUCCUAAUGUAGCUGAAAUGCUGUGUAGUUGCAGCAGAAGACAACGCUGAAGCAAUGGGAGAAACAAACUCAACCAACCCACAUAAAGCUUCUUCAGAAAGAAACGGAUGGAGCAGAAAGCACAGACACAUCACUGGCCCUGCUCUAAUCACAGCCAUGACUCAGGCCGUUUCAGAAGAACAAGCGGAAUGAAAAAAGGAGGAUGGGGCAGCGGGAAGCAAGGAAGAAGGCCACGCACUUGUGGGAAAGCCUCUCGGCCUCCCUCCCGAGCCCUGCCACCUGCCCCUGGAGCAGAGAUGCAGUUCACUCCAAGCAUCUCCCGGACUGCGGUCUACAAGUCUUUGCCAGAUUCAUAAGGAAAACGCAAUUUUCCUGUCCUCCAGGGAAUGACAGUGGCUGGCUGGGAGCACCUGGGACAUGGGAGAUACAGAUGUGGCUUUAGGAGGACAGUGACGUAGGCCAGCACCGCAGUGUCCAGACACAGGCACAGGCACUCUGGCCUCUUCUGCCGACAUCUCACACCAGCUGAUUGAGAAGCAACCAAAACUAACUUCCCUAAUGAACUGUGGCGUGAACAGGGCACCAGCACAUGGAAACAGAGAUGGUAACAGAAUGAGGAAUAUGAGGACUAAAUAGUCUAAUGUUGAAGCAACUGCUGGAGGGCGAAUCUGACUUUCAGCCAUUUGAUGUACAAUUUUAAGGUCUGUUUUUAAAUUGAAGUCGAGUUGAUUUACAAUGUUGUGUUAGUUUCAGGUAUAUGGCACAG